UUUGGCUUUGUAUCUUCUAACAA
rnacentral:snRNA from 1 species